rnacentral:rRNA from 1 species
CAGGACGAACGCUGGCGGCGUGCCUAACACAUGCAAGUCGAGCGGAGACAUACGACGGACACGAAGUUUCGGAUGGAGUGGAAGAUGUAUGUUUAGCGGCGGACGGGUGAGUAACGCGUGAGCAACCUGUCCCUUACAGGGGGAUAACACAGCGAAAGUUGUACUAAUACCGCAUGAGACCACAGCAGGACAUCCUGCAGGGGUCAAAGGAGAAAUCCGGUAAGGGGUGGGCUCGCGUCCGAUUAGAUAGUUGGUGGGGUAACGGCCUACCAAGUCGACGAUCGGUAGCCGACCUGAGAGGGUGAUCGGCCACAUUGGGACUGAGACACGGCCCAAACUCCUACGGGAGGCAGCAGUGGGGAAUAUUGGGCAAUGGGGGGAACCCUGACCCAGCAACGCCGCGUGAGGGAAGAAGGUUUUCGGAUCGUAAACCUCUGUCCUUGGUGAAGAGGAAGAGACGGUAGCCAAGGAGGAAGCCCCGGCUAACUACGUGCCAGCAGCUGC